GAGAGCAGGGUACAUGUCUCGUAUUUUCACAAAGAAUAUGACACCCUGUGAAUUUGAUUAUUUCCUCACGCUUUAGGUUAACAAGUUCCACUUUCUUUGUACUUUCCUGUAAAUUAGAAGUUAAAUUUAAACAGGAUUUAGAUUCAGUUUACACAUUCUGGCAACAAUACAUCACCAAUGUAUCACACUGCGUCCAUCAGGAAGCGCAGGUGUUUGAUGACUCAGCUAUUAAAGGCAAAUGCCAGAUACAACUAACAAGUAACACUUGAGCACCAUGAGAAUACUUUAGCCCCCCAGAUACUUCUAACUAGUGGUUUUAGCACCUGUUGAUGACUCUUGCUUGAAUCAUUUAUUUCAGUGGGAAUUACAGUCAUUUUCUAAAGCCAGCAUUUCUUACAUUUACUCACUCACAUAUUUUGCAAAGAAGAGCUGUCCUUCAUCAAUUGGACAAGAAGAGUUCCUCCGAAAAGGGAGGCUAACCAUUUCUUUCCAUUUAAUUACUAUCAGAAUCAUUUUUCUUUUAUUAAUAUUUUGUAUUUAGAGUGUCACUAUGGACUCAUGGAUUUUACUUUGUUCAAUGUUUUAGAAUCUGUCACAGUCAUUCGUGUUGGAGGAGGUUACAUCCACUGCUGCUUGACCCUCAAGCUGGACCAGGACCAUCAGAGGCUUCCUACCCUCUCCCCUGAACUUGGAGUGUAUAUUCAGCCACCUCCAGGACUCAGCCGUGAGAGAGCAAUGUGUUGUUGAGAACAUCUAGACUGAACCCCAUUAAGACCUCUAUCUAUCCCUCUCAUUAAGGGAUCCCCACUUCACUUUUACUAAAGACCUACACUAGUACCUGUUUUCACUAACUGAAAGAAAUCUAAAGACGAUUUGCAUUUACACAGAGGCAAGAAGUGAAUACAGCAUUCAUUAUCUUGCAGCAAAAUGUUACAGAGACAACACGCAAGAGAGCAUCCGGGGUGGCUCAGCCAAGCUCCUUCCCCGGAACUACACGCAUUUCAGCAGCCAGCCACCACAACUUCCACUGUGUCUGUGAGCAUCUGUGCUUUAUCUUGAUCUAUUUUGCACAUUUGCUAGCAAGACGUGUCCUAGGGUAAUUGCUUCUUUUCUUUAUGCCAUUUCAGCUUACAAAAAGUUUCAUAGGAACAUUCCACUUUCAGAGAGCAAGGGAAAACCAUACACACUUUUAAGAUUCUGGUGGCUGGAUGCGGAAAUCUAUUUGUCUUACAGCCACCUAGGACAAGCCUUGCACAUAAGCUGCCUUGAUUGUUAAAACUGCCACCUACCACGCUGGAGUAGUCUGUCUGUUUCUUCAGUCUCUCUUUGCCCCUUCGUACAGGGGCCAGUUUCAGAUUUCAUCUGAGGUUGUUCACAAACAACCACUGAUGCUCCACAGUAUCUGAAUUUGGCAACUGGGAGGCCCUUCAUGCAAGCUCCUGUUUACAGUUACAGUUUACAAAUAAGGUUUAUACAACCUUAUUUGUUUCAGGGCCUUUCCUCAUUUCCUGGCACAAUGAGAGAGCCCAGGCUCAGCUUGCACUUUUUCUGCCCUGGCUUAGAAUCAGCAAAUUCUCCAGAGUUUGGUCCCCUUGAGUGGGAAAUGGUAUUUAGAAACCAUGAUGUGUGCACUAAAUGUGCUCAUUGCUCCCAGAGAGACAUGCUUGGAAGCCUUUUAAGUAGGAGCCAGAGCAAGUAAAUAUACUUGAAAAGAUGUAUAGUAUAUUAUAAUAUAUGAUAUCUUAGACCCUCUUUGCCCUUCUUUUUCUGACUUAUCCUGGCUAUUCUUGCUUUUUCACAUUUUCUCUAUGUAAUUUAAAAUCACUUUAUCUAGUUCCAGAAAAGCUUCUUACUGGUCUUCCUAUUUAGAGGAUGUUAUAUGUGAGCAUGCAUGAACACGUGCGCGCCCACACACACAGAAGAAUGUGACACAUACAAUCUUGGGAACUGACCCCUUUAAGAUGCCGUCACACCAAAUCCAGAAUCAUGGGGAUGCUUCUUCACUUACUCAAGUCUAAGACAGUUCAUUCAUUCAGUUUCUUCUUAAAAUUAAUGGAUUUUAAUCACAGAGUCAAGGACUUUUUCACAGGCCUCACCUUUGCCCAAACGUAUGCAGCAUUAGCCUUGCUGAACACUCCUCUCUUUACACAGACACAAUUUCCUAAGCUUCAGUGCCUACUUCUUCUUUUUCUGCCUUUAACCAGGUCUUUUUCCAUCCACUCAGAAAAAUGCAGGUGUUUCCCAAAUGUCUGCCUCCUGAAUUUUUAAGGUAGAUAAUUUUGUAAUUUUUUUUCUAGCUCUCAGUGUGCUUUCCAGCUCUAGACCUGAACUGCAAUUGCACAUUGGUCAUUUUAUCCAGCUUAAUGUUGGAACUUCAGAGAAGUGAUAUGUCCAAAACUGAACCAUUCUUCUACCCCCAACCAAACCAGGCCCUCUUCUGGAUAUUCUUAUUUCAUUUUGUUUUGUUUUAUAUCCCGAGGUUCCAAGAUAUCAAGAUUCUAAAACUCAAAAGCAGCUUUUACUAGUCCCUUCACCUUGGCCUCCAAAUCCACUGAUUUUAUGGACCUAUAGAUUUACCAUCAUCUUUGAAAGCCAUUUCUUCAUGUUCAUUCACACUGCCUCUACUACACAGUUUAUGUUUCUCAUUCUUUACUGAAAAAUAUUCAUUUUUUUCAAGUUCCAAGGAAACUAUUUAAUAAUAGAAUACUUGUUCACACAUCUGAAGAGGCAAUUAAAAACAACAUCCCAAAAUAACAUCUUACAGUCACAUGCGUUUUAUGUUAUUAACAAACAGAUAAAAUGGGCUUGAAAAAUGUCACAUCCAAGUAUGUGUCACAGUGGAAUUCUGGGGUGGAGAUGAUGUUGAUAGUGAGAUGUUGGUAGACAGAAGAGACACCUAUAUUUAUAGAUUUGCUGUGUUAUGAAAGAAUUGGCUGUUCAGUUUUCCUCGUGCAAAGGAUAACUUUCCACAUCACACUGCAAAAGCUUCCAGAGCAGAGAGUGCAUUGAGCGGAAGAGCAGCACGU